rnacentral:rRNA from 1 species
AAUGUUCAGAUAGCCAUGCACGUCUAGUACAAACUAAAUGAUGGUGAAACUGCAAAUGGCUCAUUACAACGGUUAUGAUGUACCCGGGAGUUCCGAUGGAUAUUUCCAGUAACACUAGAACUAAUACAUGUCCCUGCGUUUAUUAGUUUCGCACAGUCCGUCGCUGAGUCAUGGUAAACAGUUGAUCGACUCGACGUCCCGGAACAGUUUCCGCCCCAUCAGCUUCGAUGGUUGGGUAUUGGCCUACCAUUGCAACAACGGGUAACGAGGAAUUAGGGUUUGAUUUCGGAGAGGGAGCCUGAGAAACGGCUACCACAUCUACGGAUGGCAGCAGGCGCGCAAAUUACCCAAUGCAGACACUGUGAGGUAGUGACGAGAAAUAAUAAAGCGGGACUUCUGUUUCGCUAUUAUAAUGAGGAAUAACCAAAGGUCAUUCCGAUUAGCAACUGAUGGGAAAGUCUGGUGCCAGCAGCCGCGGUAAUACCAGCGUCAGUAGCAUA